GCCCAAGUGGUGGAAUAGGGAGACACGACAGGUUUAGGUCCUGUUGCCGAAAGGCGUGGGGGUUCGAGUCCCUCCUUGGGCACCA
rnacentral:tRNA from 1 species